rnacentral:piRNA from 1 species
GGCUGAAAGAAAAAUCGGAUGAC